rnacentral:rRNA from 1 species
AGAGUUUGAUCCUGGCUCAGAUUGAACGCUGGCGGCAGGCCUAACACAUGCAAGUCGAGCGGAUGACAGGAGCUUGCUCCUGAAUUCAGCGGCGGACGGGUGAGUAAUGCCUAGGAAUCUGCCUGGUAGUGGGGGACAACGUUUCGAAAGGAACGCUAAUACCGCAUACGUCCUACGGGAGAAAGCAGGGGACCUUCGGGCCUUGCGCUAUCAGAUGAGCCUAGGUCGGAUUAGCUAGUUGGUGAGGUAAUGGCUCACCAAGGCGACGAUCCGUAACUGGUCUGAGAGGAUGAUCAGUCACACUGGAACUGAGACACGGUCCAGACUCCUACGGGAGGCAGCAGUGGGGAAUAUUGGACAAUGGGCGAAAGCCUGAUCCAGCCAUGCCGCGUGUGUGAAGAAGGUCUUCGGAUUGUAAAGCACUUUAAGUUGGGAGGAAGGGCAGUAACUUAAUACGUUGCUGUUUUGACGUUACCGACAGAAUAAGCACCGGCUAACUCUGUGCCAGCAGCCGCGGUAAUACAGAGGGUGCAAGCGUUAAUCGGAAUUACUGGGCGUAAAGCGCGCGUAGGUGGUUUGUUAAGUUGGAUGUGAAAUCCCCGGGCUCAACCUGGGAACUGCAUUCAAAACUGACAAGCUAGAGUAUGGUAGAGGGUGGUGGAAUUUCCUGUGUAGCGGUGAAAUGCGUAGAUAUAGGAAGGANCACCAGUGGCGAAGGCGACCACCUGGACUGAUACUGACACUGAGGUGCGAAAGCGUGGGGAGCAACAGGAUUAGAUACCCUGGUAGUCCACGCCGUA